AGGUCCAUUCUAAUUCUUGCUGGCCGGAAACUGGCUUAGAGCAUUCUCUGUGGACCAGAGUUCCCUGGACACUCGCCAGGGAAGGCCAGGCUAUUGUGCCCAGACCUUG
rnacentral:snoRNA from 1 species